UUACAAAUGCGAUGCUCUAACCUCUGAGCUAAGCGGGC
rnacentral:tRNA from 1 species